UAUCAGAUAUGUCCUGUGAGCCAUGAAAAUUUGGGGGAGGAGGCAAUCAGGGUGCCGUAGAGUUCAAGCUUGCAAAAGCGCAAUUGGAACACGCGGAAAAACGGUGUCUCCAUUGUUCAUUGGGCAUUGCAUGAAAAGGAACAUGCUUCUCGGGGAAACAACAAAUGAACCAACUUUGGAUUCACUUUUGUCACCAUCUCAGCACAACCGUAAAUGUUCCAAGCUCCAACAAGUUUUUCUCAGAUGAAGAUACCAUCAGUAAUGCCUCAGAUGAUACCAUUGCAAAAGGCAUUCCCAUUGGAAAAAGGUAUAAUCCUAUUCUUGGAUAUGUCUAUCUGAAUUUAAUGUCAUUGUUACUCAUUCAUUGUUCUCUACAUUUAAUAAAAAUAUUGUUUCUUGUCGUAUGGAAAAUUAUGUACCUAAUGGUGCUACCAUAGAUUUCCAAAUUAUUGUACUUUAUAUUACAUUUCUCAAUUAUUUGUGGAUCUACAUGAUAUCAUGGAGAUUUUAUUCAGUGAGAGAUUAUCACUAGUGUCUAAAUUCCAUUCAUGAUGACAUCACAUAUAAGAAACAAGACAUUUAUGUUCCCGCUCUUCGGUUUUUUAUUUCUCUAAUAUUCUUUCUGUUUUAAGGUUGCUUUGAAAGAUACAAGGUUUGCGUAGAUGAUAAUAUGAUUUCAUUCUCUUAUCCUCCCUAAUUUGUUCUUCCAAAAUUAUAUCUUAAAUUUGAUUAAGGGAGUCACAUAGUGUAUGCUAGUACAUACACCCACUUAAAUAGCUUGUAUUUAUUGACUUGAGAUACAACUCAGAUGGUUUCUCUAAAUCUUGUGAUAUAAGUCUAAGCUUUUCAUUAACCUACUAUUGUUAUAAUUACUAUAUUGAUUGAUAAUUUAAAGGGUAAUGUAGAAAGAAUUUUACUCAGUAUCAAUAUUGUCUUUCUGAAUGUGAAUUCUUUCAUUCCAAACUGAGGGGAUUUUAUUUUUCCAAAUUUAUUUUGUAAGAAUAAAAUUAUUUUUUGUAAGUAUGAGAAGAGUGCAAAGAAUAAUCAAAAGAAUAAGUAGAUGAAGCGAUGGUCAGUGGUAAAUGGUGAAGAUGACCAAUGAUGACAGCAACAAUCACUUUUACUAUGGUAAUUGUUUUUCUUUCAAUUUGAGUUUGAACCAUGACUUUUCUUAUCCCUCUGCUUUUUCAGUUUCUGAUUUUCCCCGCAAGAAGCAUAAUGCUUUUGCCUAAAGAUGCCAAAAUGUUUGGUUACUUCAUUGAAAAUUGUUUAACCUAAUGCCAAAAUUCAGUGUCAAUGACGUAAUUGUGUUAUUUGUCUGCUACUCCAUAUUUGACAAAAAAUUUAGUGAAAAUUGUUCAAGUUCCAAGUGUUCUUCAUCUGGGAGGUUUUUUUAUGUAUAUAGGUUUGUAGCUACCUCUUACUCGAUUGUAACCCGUCAAACCAAAACAUCUUUUCAGUUUUUCACGCCUAGUUGCAUAAGAAAAAGUCUGCUUGUGAAAGUGAUUGUUUGUGAGUGAAUAAGAAUGAAAGACUGCACAAAAUAAAAUGUGAGCUAUUCUUCUUCAACAAUGGAACUUGAACUUUCUGAUUACAUUGGCUAUGUUACCGGUGUAUGAUUUUUGUUAAUGUUUUAUGAAUUAUAUAGUAAUUUAGUCUGUUGUGUUGUGUGUGUGCACCUUUCAAUAUGGUUUGGAAUAAAUAUGAUGGUCAGCAGAGGAGUCCACCGCCUCAACAAGAAGUUGAAGUAUACGGGGGUGCUGGAUAUCAAUAAGGGGGAGAACCUCAAGGAGGUCGAGGCAGGGCUCCGCAAGUUGGACGCAGAAAUUAUGGCGAUGAAUGUGAUGGCUUUGGUGGUGGUGGACAUGGUGAUUGGAAGAUGAACUUGCCUCAGAUACUAUUCAACUUCAGACACUUCUGGUGGCUAGAAAGAUGAGUUUUCCUUGGAUUAGGGUGCAGAUGGAACUGAGGUAGCUUGGUGCAGCUCGGGUGCUGGUCACCUCGGUGGGCCUCCAUAUGAAGGAUCUAUGUCAUGGUCAUUGCCACCACCGUAGAAACCUCUGCCACCUUCAUAUCCACAACCUUGUUGCUGAGAAGGCCCUCCUCAGCCCCAACAACAGUAUGGUGCAUACUACUCUCGGUGUUGAGGAGGGUCUUCUUAGCAAGGAGACCGUGGAUAUAAAGGUGUCAGACGUGGAAAUGAUGGUGGUGCAGGUGCUGCUAGUGGCCAUGACGUAGUUCAUUACUAUGGCAGCCCCCCGAGGUAACCAGCAUCCGAGCUGCACCAAGCUACCUCAGUUCCAUCUACACCCGAUCAAGUUUUGGUGUCUCCUCCACCUUCUCUCCAAUCUUAGGCAAGCUCGUCUUCCCAUUCACCAUGAAGUGUCUGAAGUUUAACAAGAUCUGAGGAAAGUUAAUCUUCCAACCACCAUGUCCACCACCACCAAAACCAUCACAUCCACUGCCAUAGUUUCCGCAUCCACCCUGCAAACCCCAGCCUCGACCUCCUUGAGGUCCUCCCCCUCCUUGACAUCCAACACCCCCAUAUACUUCAACUUACUCUUUAGGUUGUGGAUUCUUCUGCUGACCAUCAGAUCUUUUGGCCCCACCGGGUCCAUCAGGUCUCCUCUUCCAAUCUGAGGCAAGUUCAUUCUUAGGGAAGUCACGCCCCUCCUCCACAAAGUAAAUCAUCACUAAGGUUUCCCCUUCUCCCUGGAAAAGGGAGUUAUGACCAGAAGUGUGUUGUUAUGGCAAACCUUUUCUUUUGUCGAGUUACCUGAAAAAGACAAUCAUCAGUAUGAUAAAUAACUUGCUGAUGCUGAUGUAUUUUGAACAUAACAAAAGAUACUCCAGUGUUCAAUCAUGUUUAUUUGGAUGAAGUUUCUCUAUCGCUAGUAAAAUGCCCCGUAUGCUAUUUUGACUAGAAGUUUCCGUCCAUUGGGUCGGUUCAAAAGAUUAUGAUGCAAUUACUAUGAUUUGUCCUGUGUGUGAUGAAAGCUUAGGGGAGGAUGCAAUCAGGAUGGUGAAGAACUCAAGCUUCCCAAUCUCACAAAAGUGGAUUUGGAAGCCUC